GGAAGGGGUGUAUUUAUUAGAUUAAAAACCAAUGCCCUUCGGGGCUCACUGGUGAUUCAUGAUAACUCCUCGAAUCGCAUGGCCUUGUGCCGGCGAUGGUUCAUUCAAAUUUCUUCCCUAUCAACUUUCGAUGUUUGGGUAUUGGCCAAACAUGGUUGCAACGGGUGACGGAGGGUUAGGGCUCGACCCCGGAGAAGGAGCCUGAGAAACGGCUACUACAUCCAAGGAAGGCAGCAGGCGCGCAAAUUACCCAAUCCCGACACGGGGAGGUAGUGACAAUAAAUACUGAUACAGGGCUCUUUUGGGUCUUGUAAUUGGAAUGAGUACAAUUUAAAUCCCUUAACGAGGAACAAUUGGAGGGCAAGUCUGGUGCCAGCAGCCGCGGUAAUUCCAGCUCCAAUAGCAUAUAUUAAAGUUGUUGUGGUUAAAAAGCUCGUAGUUGAACCUUGGGCCUGGCUGGCCGGUCCGCCUCACCGCGUGUACUGGUCCGGCCGGGCCUUUCCCUCUGUGGAACCCCAUGCCCUUCACUGGGUGUGGCGGGGAACCAGGACUUUUAC
rnacentral:rRNA from 1 species